GUGUCAGCCGCCGCGGUAAUACGUAGGGAGCAAGCGUUGUUCGGAUUUACUGGGCGUAAAGGGCGCGUAGGCGGCCUGUCAAGUCAACUGUGAAAUCUCCGGGCUUAACUCGGAACGGUCAGUUGAUACUGUCAGGCUAGAGUGCAGAAGGGGCAAUCGGAAUUCUUGGUGUAGCGGUGAAAUGCGUAGAUAUCAAGAGGAACACCUGAGGUGAAGACGGGUUGCUGGGCUGACACUGACGCUGAGGCGCGAAAGCCAGGGGAGCAAACGGGAUUAGAAACCCGCGUAGUCC
rnacentral:rRNA from 1 species